rnacentral:rRNA from 1 species
AAUCAACGCUGGCGGCGUGCCUAAUACAUGCAAGUCGAACGCGAAAGUCCCGCAAGGGGCGAGUAGAGUGGCAAACGGGUGAGUAACGCGUGGGCGACCUACCUUCGAGUGGGGGAUAACCUUCCGAAAGGAGGGCUAAUACCGCAUGACAUCCCGUGUUUGGAUACACGGACAUCAAAGUCGGGGAUCGCAAGACCUGACGCUUGGAGAGGGGCCCGCGUCCGAUUAGCUAGUUGGUGGGGUAACGGCCCACCAAGGCUUCGAUCGGUAUCCGGCCUGAGAGGGCGGACGGACACACUGGAACUGAGACACGGUCCAGACUCCUACGGGAGGCAGCAGUAGGGAAUUGUUCGCAAUGGGCGCAAGCCUGACGACGCAACGCCGCGUGGAGGAUGAAGACUUUCGGGUCGUAAACUCCUUUCGACCGAGAUGAAUACCUGCCGACUUAAUACGUUGGCAGGCUGACAGUAU